rnacentral:snRNA from 1 species
UAUCUCUUCAAAGUCGUAUGAUAAAAUUGAAAUGAUAUAGAGAAGAUUAGCAUGACUCAUGUGUAAGGAUUGGAAAACACAAAUUUUAUUUGCUUUA